UACAGGGGGUGCAAACGUUGCUCGGAAUCAUUGGGCGUAAAGCGCACGUAGGCGGUUCGUUAUGUCGGAUGUGAAAGCCCUUGGCUUAACCGAGGAAGUGCAUCCGAAACUGGCGAGCUAGAGUACGAAAGAGGAUCGCGGAAUUCCCGGUGUAGAGGUGAAAUUCGUAGAUAUCGGGGAGGAACACCUGUGGCGAAGGCGGCUCGCUGGGCCGGUCCUGACGCUGAGACGCGAAGGCGUGGGGAGGCGAACGGG
rnacentral:rRNA from 1 species